UACGUAGGCAGCGAGCGUUGUUCGGAGUUCUGGGCGUAAAGGGUGUGUAGGCGGUUCUUUAAGUUUGGUGUGAAAUCUCCCGGCUCAACCGGGAGGGUGCGCCGAAAACUGGGGGACUAGAGUGCGGGAUGGGAGAGUAGAAUUCCUGGUGGUAGCGGUGAAAUGCGUAGAUAUCAGGAGGAAUACCGGUGGUGUAGACGGCUCUCUGGACCGCCACUGACGCUGAGACGCGAAAGCGUGGGUAGCAAACAGG
rnacentral:rRNA from 1 species